rnacentral:rRNA from 1 species
GAUGAACGCUAGCGGCAGGCCUAAUACAUGCAAGUCGAACGGGAUUGAGGAGCUUGCUCCUCAUGAGAGUGGCGCACGGGUGCGUAACACGUAUGUAACCUACCUUAAUCAGGGGAAUAGCAUCUCGAAAGAGAGAUUAACACCGCAUAAAAUCACACUAUGGCAUCAUAGAAUGAUCAAAUAUUUAUAGGUUUAAGAUGGGCAUGCGGAACAUUAGCUAGUUGGUAAGGUAACGGCUUACCAAGGCUACGAUGUUUAGGGGAUCUGAGAGGAUGGCCCCCCACCCUGGUACUGAGACACGGACCAGACUCCUACGGGAGGCAGCAGUAAGGAAUAGUGGUCAAUGGGCGGAAGCCUGAACCAGCCAGGCCGCGUGCAGGAAGACGGCCCUACGGGUUGUAAACUGCUUUUGUACCGGAAUAAACCUUUCUACGUGUAGGAAGCUGAAUGUACGGUAAGAAUAAGGAUCGGCUAACUCCGUGCCAGCCGCCGCCGUAA